GAUCAAGCGUCAUAAGGGCAUUUGGUGGAUGCCUUGGCACUGAGAGGCGAUGAAGGACGUAGCACGCUGCGAUAAGUUUCGGGAAGCCGCGAGCAGGCAUUGAUCCGAAAAUUUCCGAAUGGGGAAACCCACGUCAUUUGACGUAUCGACGUCUGAAUACAUAGGACGCCGAAGCAAACCCGGGGAACUGAAAUAUCUCACGUACCCGGAGGAAAGGACAUCAACAGAGACUCCGCUAGUAGUGACGAGCGAACGCGGACCAGGCCAGUCAUUUGUGUCUUCAAACCUGAACUGUCUGGAAAGGCAGACCAAAGUAGGUGAUAGUCCUGUAAGGAUCGAUGAAGAUAUAAAUGCUUGAGUAAGGCGGGACACGUGAAAUCCUGUCUGAACAUGGGGGGACCACCCUCCAAGCCUAAGUACUCCUCAGUGACCGAUAGUGCACUAGUACCGUGAGGGAAAGGUGAAAAGUACCCCAAUGAGGGGGGUGAAACAGACCCUGAAACCGAAUGCCUACAAACAGUCGGAGCCCGCAAGGGUGACGGCGUACCUUUUGUAUAAUGGGUCAGCGAGUUUGUUUAUGCAGCAAGCUUAAGCCGCUAGGCGUAGGCGAAGCGAAAGCGAGUCUGAAUAGGGCGCGAAGUUGCAUGAACAAGACCCGAAACCUGGUGAUCUAUCCAUGGGCAGGUUGAAGGUGCGGUAACACGCACUGGAGGACCGAACUCACGCCUGUUGAAAAAGUCGGAGAUGACCUGUGGAUAGGGGUGAAAGGCCAAUCAAACUAGGAAAUAGCUGGUUCUCCGCGAAAUCUAUUUAGGUAGAGCGUCGGAUGAUGACCAUCGGGGGUAGAGCACUGGAUGGGCUAGGGGGGCGCGAGCCUUACCAAACCCAACCAAACUCCGAAUACCGAUGAGUUUAAUCCGGCAGGCAGUCCAUGGGUGCUAAGGUCCGUGGACGAAAGGGAAACAGCCCAGACCAACAGCUAAGGUCCCAAAAUCGUGGCUAAGUGGGAAAGGAUGUGGGAAGACCAUAACAACCAGGAGGUUGGCUUAGAAGCAGCCAUCCUUUAAAGAAAGCGUAACAGCUCACUGGUCUAAUAGUCAGCCUGCGCCGAAAAUGUAACGGGGCUCAAGCCAUGUACCGAAGCUUUGGGUGUAUGCCGAUAAGGCAUACGCGGUAGCGGAGCGUUCCGUAAGCCAGUGAAGGAUGACCCGUGAGGGCAUCUGGAGGUAUCGGAAGUGAGAAUGCUGACAUGAGUAGCGAUAAAGAGUGUGAAAGACACUCUCGCCGAAAGUCCAAGGGUUCCUGCGCAAGGUUCAUCCACGCAGGGUUAGCCGGUCCCUAAGACGAGGCCGAAAGGCGUAGCCGAUGGGAACCACGUCAAUAUUCGUGGGCCAGCCGAAGGUGACGGAGAUGCAAGGAUGUUCAGGCUUAACGGAUUGUCUGGGCGUCGAUGCAACUUCCAGGAAAUAACCUCGGCAAUUGACCGUACCCUAAACCGACACAGGUGGACGCGUAGAAUAUACUCAGGCGCUUGAGAGAAUGGUGUUGAAGGAACUCGGCAAAAUCCCCUCGUAACUUCGGGAGAAGAGGGCCCUAUCUUUGGGCAACCAGAGAUAGGGGGCACAGAAUCGGGGGUGGCGACUGUUUAGCAAAAACACAGGGCUCUGCGAAGUCUCACAUGACGACGUAUAGGGCCUGACGCCUGCCCGGUGCCGGAAGGUUAAGAGGAGGGGUGCAAGCUCCGAAUUGAAGCCCCGGUAAACGGCGGCCGUAACUAUAACGGUCCUAAGGUAGCGAAAUUCCUUGUCGGGUAAGUUCCGACCUGCACGAAUGGCGUAACGACUUCCCCGCUGUCUCCAACACCAACUCAGCGAAAUUGGAUUCCCCGUGAAGAUACGGGGUACCCGCGGUUAGACGGAAAGACCCCAUGAACCUUUACUACAGCUUUGCAGUGGUAUGAGGGAUUGCAUGUGUAGGAUAGGCGGGAGACUUUGAAGCCGGGGCGCAAGCCUUGGUGGAGUCACCCUUGAAAUACCGCCCUUGCGAUCUUUUAUAUCUAACCAGUCUCCACAAUCGGGAGAUGGGACCCUGCAUGGCGGGUAGUUUGACUGGGGCGGUCGCCUCCCAAAGAGUAACGGAGGCGCGCGAUGGUAGGCUCAGGCUGGUCGGAAAUCAGCCGCUGAGUGCAAUGGCAUAAGCCUGCCUGACUGCGAGACCCACAAGUCGAGCAGAGACGAAAGUCGGUCAUAGUGAUCUGGUGGUCCCGUGUGGAAGGGCCAUCACUCAACGGAUAAAAGGUACUCUGGGGAUAACAGGCUGAUGACGCCCAAGCGUCCAUAGCGACGGCGUCGUUUGGCACCUCGAUGUCGGCUCAUCACAUCCUGGGGCUGGAGAAGGUCCCAAGGGUUUGGCUGUUCGCCAAUUAAAGUGGUACGCGAGCUGGGUUCAAAACGUCGUGAGACAGUUUGGUCCCUAUCUGCCGUGGGUGUAGGAAUGUUGAGAGGAGCUGUCCCUAGUACGAGAGGACCGGGAUGGACGCACCUCUGGUGUACCAGUUGUCACGCCAGUGGCAUCGCUGGGUAGCUACGUGCGGACGAGAUAAACGCUGAAAGCAUCUAAGCGUGAAACUUACCUCGAAACUAGCAUUCCCUGAAGAGCCGUGGUAGACCACCACGUUGAUAGGCUGGGUGUGGAAGGAUGGUAACAUCUGAAGCUUACCAGUACUAAUGGCUCGUUCGGCUUGAUCUU
rnacentral:rRNA from 1 species